rnacentral:rRNA from 1 species
UACGGGGGGGGCAAGCGUUGUUCGGAAUUACUGGGCGUAAAGGGCUCGUAGGCGGCCAACUAAGUCGGAUGUGAAAUCCCCAGGCUUAACCUGGGAACUGCAUCCGAUACUGGUUGGCUUGAAUCCGGGAGAGGGAUGCGGAAUUCCAGGUGUAGCGGUGAAAUGCGCAGAUAUCGGGAAGAACACCCGUGGCGAAGGCGGCUCUCUGGGACGGUACUGACGCUGAGACGCGAAAGCGUGGGGAGCGAACAGG